rnacentral:rRNA from 1 species
CCUACGGGAGGCAGCAGUGGGGAAUUUUGGACAAUGGGGGCAACCCUGAUCCAGCCAUGCCGCGUGAGUGAAGAAGGCCUUCGGGUUGUAAAGCUCUUUCGGCCGGAACGAAAUCGCGCACGUGAAUAACGUGCGUGGAUGACGGUACCGGAGUAAGAAGCACCGGCUAACUACGUGCCAGCAGCCGCGGUAAUACGUAGGGUGCGAGCGUUAAUCGGAAUUACUGGGCGUAAAGCGUGCGCAGGCGGUUCGCUAAGUCAGACGUGAAAGCCCCGGGCUUAACCUGGGAACGGCGUUUGAAACUGGCGGGCUCGAGUACGGCAGAGGGGGGUGGAAUUCCACGUGUAGCAGUGAAAUGCGUAGAUAUGUGGAGGAACACCGAUGGCGAAGGCAGCCCCCUGGGCCGAUACUGACGCUCAUGCACGAAAGCGUGGGGAGCAAACAGGAUUAGAUACCCUGGUAGUCCACGCCCUAAACUAUGUCAACUAGUUGUCGGGGAGGCAAUUCCUUGGUAACGCAGCUACGACGUGAGUAGACCGCCGUGGGAGGUACGGUCGCGAGAUAAACUACAAGAAGUAGAGCGNGAGAGNGCGACGACGACGACGAGGGAGAGG